AAAUGAAUAGACGGGGGCCCGCACAAGCAGCGGAGCAUGUGGUUUAAUUCGAAGCAACGCGAAGAACCUUACCAAGGCUUGACAUCCUCUGCAAUUCAUGGAAACAUGAAGUUCCCUUCGGGGACAGAGAGACAGGUGGUGCAUGGUUGUCGUCAGCUCGUGUCGUGAGAUGUUGGGUUAAGUCCCGCAACGAGCGCAACCCUUGUCCUUAGUUACCAGCAAGUGAAGUUGGGGACUCUAGGGAGACCGCCGGGGAUAACUCGGAGGAAGGUGGGGACGACGUCAAAUCAUCAUGCCCCUUAUGUCUUGGGCUACACACGUGCUACAAUGGUCGUAACAAAGGGAAGCGAACCCGAGAGGGGGAGCGGAACUCAAAAAAGCGAUCCCAGUUCGGAUUGUGGGCUGCAACCCGCCCACAUGAAGUCGGAGUUGCUAGUAAUCGCGAAUCAGCAUGUCGCGGUGAAUGCGUUCCCGGGCCUUGUACACACCGCCCGU
rnacentral:rRNA from 1 species